ACUCCGUGAUGAACAUACAACGACAAGCAUAUGACUGAACUCACAAGUGAUGUCAUCUAAGCACUGAGAAGU
rnacentral:snoRNA from 1 species